rnacentral:misc_RNA from 1 species
GGCUGUUUUUAAGGUUGUUGAACUCACAUCUCGUUAUAAGGAGGAGAGGGUUUUGUUGAGAACGACGGUAAUGGUCUUGUUGAAAAGUAGGAUGAGAGAUGAGAGAGCACCAUUGUUUACAAAUGCACCGGAACUUGCAGAGUGCCUUGACGGGAAAUCUUACCAGAAUUUCGUGCAGGACAUCAAUGGGGAGCUCCUUACCGAUUCCUUCUUUCGAGAUUCUUUCCAUUUCUG